rnacentral:lncRNA from 1 species
UUUUGAAGUGUUCAUAAAGAUAAAGUUGGAGGUCGACUUGUUUAAAGUACAGCAAGGUCACUGACUAAAAUGGCGGCAGCCAUGAAUUCCCUCUACUUGUUGCGGUGCACUCCCUUUUCCACUCUGUUUAUCUUCUUCUUUCUUCUUUUUCCCAAUUUCUUUUCGCUUUGUUCGUUUCUCAGUGAGUGUGUGUGUGUAAUUUUUCUGGUAUUCAAUUUGAUUGGUAGGCGACGUUGUUGUUAAAAACAGUGGCCCAAUAUGUAUUCGAGCAUUCAACUUUAUCAAAUCCAUUAAUCAAACUGCCCAGAUCCAGCAUAAUGCAUUUAUUCGUCGCCCUCUUCAGUUCCGCAGGUAUUUAUUUGUACUUCCUGCUCUAAAUGUUGUGCCUUUGAUUUUAUUUCUUUCGUGAAUGCCUCGCUCUGUCAGUGUACUGCAUUUUCCAAUGUUUGCCUGUCAUCGAAAUACAAUUUUUGCCUGUCAGGUUUCAAUGUUUUCCCCUUUCUCUAAUUCGCCCUAGAGAUUAGGAAAAUUCAUAAAUUUUGAAC